rnacentral:misc_RNA from 1 species
AGCAGCCGCGGUAAUUCCAGCUCCAAUAGCGUAUAUUAAAGUUGUUGCAGUUAAAAAGCUCGUAGUUGAAUUUCGGGAUCAAAGAAUCGGUCAUGCCUUGGUAUGUACUGGUUUUAUUGGUUCUCACCUUCUAAAGAACCAUGAUGUCAUUCAUUUGAUGUUAUGGGGAAUUAGGACUGUUACCUUAAAAAAUUAGAGUGUUUAAAGCAAGCUUACGCUUGAAUACAUUAGCAUGGAAUAAUGAAAUAGGACAUCAGAUUCUAUUUUGUUGGUUUCUAGGAUCGAUGUAAUGAUUAAUAGGGAUAGUUGGGGGCAUUAGUAUUCAAUUGUCAGAGGUGAAAUUCUUGGAUUUAUUGAAGACUAACUACUGCGAAAGCAUUUGCCAAGGAUGUUUUCAUUAAUCAAGAACGAAAGUUAGGGGAUCGAAGACGAUCAGAUACCGUCGUAGUCUUAACCAUAAACUAUGCCGACUAGGGAUCGGAUGAUGUUAAUUUUUUAAUGACUCAUUCGGCGCCUUACG